GUUGGUUUGCUCAGUGGUAGAGUGCAUGCUUUGUACGUAUGAUGUCCAGGCUUCGAUCCCCAGCUUCUACC